AGUCAUUGAAAUACGAACAAAUGACGGCGCUUAAGGCGUUUGUUGGCGGCGAGGAUGUGUUUGCGUUUCUUCCGACCGGAUUUGGCAAAAGUUUGAGCUGGCUCCACUGGUCGCUAAAGCCGCUGUGAGAUGGACACUCCCAGACGUUCUAUCCCACCCGAUUAUAUUUCACGUGCUAUUUCACGUGCUAAAGCAAUGGGGAAAGUGCAGGAUCCAAUCUUUAUUGUGGUGUUCCCCCUGGCUGCGUUAAUGGAGGACCAAGUCAGAGAGGCUGGAAAUCUAAUGGGUCUAACGGCAAUGGAACUGGGAGGAAGACAUCCUUCAGGGACGUUGCCAGGCCAGCCGGUCUUCGGUAGCCCCGAGUCGUGGCUGAAGGACAAAUGACUGACCAUGCUAUCCUCAGACCUCUACCAGAAGAAUCUACUGGGCAUCGUUGUCGAUGAGGUUCACGUCACCUACAAAUGGAAUGAAAGGCCUUCCUGCUCAGUUGGGAGAACGUCACAGCAAAGAAGACAUGCCUGUCAUGGCUUAAAUGGCAUCUGCAGUCACAGAAGAUGGGACACAGAGAGCUGCUACAUAUGGAGAGAGUGCCAUUCAACAGUGAGCCCACCCAACAGGACAGUUUGCACUAGGUUGGAUCACAGCUUAUUGAAGAAACAUGAGAAGAGCAUUAGUCCCUAUAUCUUUGAUCUAACAUAUAAUAGUACAUAACCAACAACCUUCCUGUUUUCAAAGUGUUGCAUGUGCAGGGAAUCCCAGGUUAUGUUGAUUAAAAGGAUGAGUAUUUUGACAGUGAAACACCACAGCGUAGUAGCUGGCAGUGCUUUGCCGCAACCUCGUACAUGCUGUUGUACAAAUGUGUAUGAAUGACUGUUUUUGCAUAGAAGAACUGUAAAUAAAAUUACACAUUU